UACGUAGGGGCAAGCGUUGUCCGGAUUUAUUGGGCGUAAAGAGCGUGUAGGCGGCUAUACAGGUCCGCUGUGAAAACUCGAGGCUCAACCUCGAGACGUCGGUGGAAACCGUAUGGCUAGAGUCCGGAAGAGGAGAGUGGAAUUCCUGGUGUAGCGGUGAAAUGCGCAGAUAUCAGGAAGAACACCCGUGGCGAAGGCGGCUCUCUGGGACGGUACUGACGCUGAGACGCGAAAGCGUGGGGAGCGAACAGG
rnacentral:rRNA from 1 species